GAUGAAGAACGCAGCGAAAUGCGAUAAGUAAUGCGAAUUGCAGAAUUCAGUGAGUCAUCGAAUCUUUGAACGCACAUUGCGCCCGCCAGUAUUCUGGCGGGCAUGCCUGUCCGAGCGUCAUUUCAACCCUCGAACCCCUCCGGGGGGUCGGCGUUGGGGAUCGGCCCUUUACGGGGCCGGCCCCGAAAUACAGUGGCGGUCUCGCCGCAGCCUCUCCUGCGCAGUAGUUUGCACACUCGCAUCGGGAGCGCGGCGCGUCCACAGCCGUUAAACACCCCAAACUUCUGAAAUGUUGACCUCGGAUCAGGUAGGAAUACCCGCUGAACUUAAGCAUAUCAAUAAGCGGAGGA
rnacentral:misc_RNA from 1 species